GGUCUUAUAGUGAAGUGGCUAACACAGGAGACUGCAAAUCUCUAAUCGUCGGUUCAAAUCCGACUAGGACCU
rnacentral:tRNA from 4 species